UAGGGCGAAAGCCUGAUGCAGCAACGCCGCGUGUGUGAUGAAGGCCUUCGGGUCGUAAAGCACUUUUCUGGGAGAUGAGAAAGGACAGUAUCCCAGGAAUAAGUCUCGGCUAACUACGUGCCAGCAGCCGCGGUAAAACGUAGGAGGCAAGCGUUAUCCGGAUUCACUGGGCGUAAAGCGCGUGCAGGUGGCGCGGUAAGUUGGGCGUGAAAUCUCCCGGCUCAACUGGAGAGGUCGUCCAAUACUACCGUGCUUGAGAGCAGAAGAGGAAGAUGGAAUUCCCGGUGUAGUGGUGAAAUGCGUAGAUAUCGGGAGGAACACCAGUGGCGAAGGCGAUCUUCUGGUCUGUUUCUGACACUCAGACGCGACAGCUAGGGUAGUAAACGGGAUUAGAGACCCCGGUAAUCCUAGCCGUAAACGAUGUGAACUUGGCGUUGGUGGGUUAAACUCCAUCAGUGCCGUAGCAAACGCGAUAAGUUCACCGCCUGGGGACUACGGCCGCAAGGUUA
rnacentral:rRNA from 1 species